rnacentral:rRNA from 1 species
UACGUAGGGCGCAAGCGUUGUCCGGAUUUAUUGGGCGUAAAGAGCUCGUAGGCGGUUUGUCGCGUCUUCCGUGAAAACUGGGGGCUUAACUUCCAGCUUGCGGUGGAUACGGGCUGACUGGAGUGCGGCAGGGGAGACUGGAAUUCCUGGUGUAGCGGUGAAAUGCGCAGAUAUCAGGAGGAACACCAAUAGCGAAGGCAGCUCGCUGGGACGGUACUGACGCUAAGGCGCGAAAGCGUGGGGAGCGAACAGG